GUCGAUAAAGCCCACAUCCUUUGAAGCAUCAUUAUUGACAAAAAUGCAGCAACAAGCAACUCCAAUCCAUUCACUAUCCUCUUGAAGGUUGAUAGGUAAGGGAAUCUUAAUAAAGGAGUCACCUUUUUGUUGGCUAAACCAUUCUGGGAUUUCACUUCCCGGCAUGAUAAUAUCAAACAUUUUUCUUGAAUUUGCAAAUGCCCAAAAUAAAUCACAAGUCGUUUGGUAACUAAAACCAUAAAUUCUCAAGUAUGAGAUUUUAUAAGGGAGAAAAAGAGAGAUUAAUCGACCUUAAGAUGUUUUCUCAGCAGUGUUAAUGCAUUCAUAUUCUCAACCAAUUUGAAGCAGUUAAAGGCUCUAAUAGCAGCCGAAUCCACUAAAUUGCAUACUUUUGAUGGACUUGCAACUACUUCAAGUGAAGAACAACCCUCUAGCCACACAUCUUCUAUACUUGUUGGUAGCUCAGGCAACGAGUUAAGCUUCAUGCAAUUUGAUAAUGCAAUCAAUUUAAGCUUGGAAAGUUGAGUCAGAGCCAAAGGAACGGUGAUGAAAUUGUUAUCGUUAAGAUAAAGCCAUUUCAAAGAGGAUAGACCAUGAAUAUCUGCUUCACCAAGAGUGCACAUGUUGCAAUUUGACAAUAUAAGAACUUCAAGCUUGGAGAGUCGUGUAAGAGAUGCAGGUAUACUGACGAAAUUGUUACCACUAAGAUCAAGUUCUUUCAAAAAGGAUAGACCAGAAAUAUCAGGGGGAAUAUCUCCUUCACAAAGAUUGCAGUCCCUUAGUUUUAGCUCUCUUAAUGAACUCAAACCUGAAAAUGAAGGUAACAUCGGAGCAAUGGAAUUUGUCCUUCCUCUUUUGCAUCCAUUGAAAGACAGAACUUUAAGAUUUUUAAAUUGAAAAAUGAAGGAUGGUGGUUCGGUUAUGGCUGUUUCAGUCAAGUCGAGCUCUUCCAAAAACUUUUCAUGCUGCAAAUUCUCCGAUAAAUUUUCAACUCUAUAACAACCGGAAAGAUCUAGAGUUUUUAGACGUUUCAUUUUUCCAUCAAUCUCCGGAAACCUUACAAGACUUGAGCAACCCGAAAGAAUUAAUGUUUCAAGAUAUUCCAUUCUAAUUAUGGUCGGAAAACUCCUAAGACUUUUGCAAUCUUUUAAAUUCAAAACUUUAAGGCUCUUAAGUACUGCGAUUGAUGGAUGAACAUCUACUAAUUUGGUACAACCUUUCAAUGUUAGAACUUCAAGAUUUGAUGCCGUUGUGAAGUCUGGUGUCUUGAUCAGGUUUUGGAACCCUUCGAGGUCCAUCAUUUUCAACUUACACAGGAGCUGUUGAAGAUCACAAUAAAUUAGAAACAAAUGAGAAAACAUAAUAAUGCUUAUUUUUUUGUUUUUUUACCUUAAUCAAAGUUUAAUCAUUUAUAUUAAAAUAAGCUAAAAUACAAGGAUGAGAUGAAUUAAUUCUUACUCUAUUUCCCUUCCAUAGUUGUUGAAUGCGACUAUAUGGUAAAAGAAGUGCAACAAGGUUGUCCGGUUGGCUUGAAGGCAACGAUCUUAAAGGGCAUCCUUUCUAAUCUAAAAGCCGUAGCUCAUUAGAAAGAAAUUUAAGAUAAUCACAAUUUGAUAGGCAAAGCACUUUGAGCAAUCUCAAUUUUUUCAUUUUUGAGAAAGCAUCGGCUCUCAAAUUGAACAUCUUGCUUGAUUCCCUAAUAAUCAUAAAUAAAACAAAAUGAAAAUGAGCUUCACAAUAUACAGAAACAUUCAUAUCUAAAAGUUAUGUUAUAAUCUAAUUCAUUGAUAUGCUAUUAAUAUUUCAAAAAGACAUACAUUUAUAAAUUUCAGAAUUAAACAUUGAAAUAUUGAGUGUUAAAGAUUUUGUUAUAAUUUUUUUAUCAUAUUUAAAAAUAUAAAAUAAUUAUUUACAAUACACAUAAAUAUAAAUUUAUGUCUUCUUACCUUUUAUUAUCGAUGAUUAUACCUUCAAUCAUUUCUGUACCCUAAAAAAAAUCAAGAAUAGAAAAUAAGAAAAUAAAAUAAAUGGUGUAUAAUGUAGAAUAAAACUUUUAAAAACUUACAUUUUUAUUUAGCAUUAUUAUAUUCUAAAUAUAAUAAAUAAAGCAUUUUAAAUGAAGUAAAACAAUUUCUACAAAUAUUAUGCUCUAAAGAGGGUAAUGCAAUGAAAUUAAAUAUUUAUUUCUACAAAUCUUUUUAAUAUUUGUAAACAAACUACAAAAUGGAGCAAUUUAAAUACUAAAGAAGCAGGCACUGAAUCACACCUAAACACAUUGCAGGCAUCCAAUGGUAUAUUCUCUUAUUAUUCCCUUUUUCAUAAAGUACUUAUUUUUAACAUUAUGUUUGGCUUUCAUAUAUAUAAUCUUCCAAAUAGAUAAAAAAAAAAAAUUAACAGAUUAAAUAGGACACAUAUCACAUUUACUUUACAAGAAAAAAUUGUUUGAGACUGUAAUUCCACAUUAUCUCUAUCUCUUUUUGAUAAAUAAAAAAAAAAUUAGAUUUUUCCUCAUUGGAAGUCACACGCAUGGAUUUGCCUUUUGAUGGACUUGGAGGUGCAACUACUUCAAGCGAAGCACAACCAUCUAUCUUCACAUUCAUUAUGGUUGCUAGAAGCUCAGGCAAUGAUUCAAGCUCCCUACAAUUUGAAAAUCUAAGAAAUAGAAGCUUGGAAAGUCGAGUAAGAGACACAGGUAUGCUAAUGAAAUUGUUACCACUAAGAUCAAGUUCUUUCAAAGAGGAACGACAAGAAAUGUCACUAGGAAUAUCUCCUUCCCUAAUAUUGAAGGAUGGUGGUUCUGUUAUGGUUGUUUCACUCAAGUCAAGCUCUUCCAAAAAUUCUACUUGUUGCAAACUCUGGAAAUUUUUUUAACUUUAUAACAACCAGAAAGAUGAAGAGUUUUUAGACGUUUCAUUUUCCCAUCAAUCUCUGGAAACCUUGCAAGAUUUGAGUAACCCGAAAAAAUUAAUGUUUCAAGAGAUUCCGUUCCAAUUGUUUCUCACUGUUUACAAUUAUUUCUGGCUCAGGUUUGUUCUCUUUUGCAUCGAAAAUUAACCUCUGAUUCUUUUAUAAUUUAAAAUUGUUGACUUCUUUAUGUCAGGUGUUUUGCUCUCAAAUAUGCUGCCUGCCCUGUGAUGUGUGUAGAUCAGGUAAUUUACUAGAGGCAGAAAGUUUGGAAAUGAAAAUCGCACUUAAAUUAGUUUCUGAUGGGAUUAGGUUCUCAUGCAAAGUUGUAUUUGUUGCUUAGGAUCGCAUCUGUAUUUCAUUUUCCCAACAUUUUCUUCCACUUAGCUUGGUAAUGUGGUUAUUUCAAUGUUUGCAUAUUAUCACGGCGAAACUAGAUGGAGGUCCAGGGAGGAGAGAUCAACCUGAAGGAAUGGAUGGCGAAUAAAUCUUGCACAGUAUGAUUGAUUUUGUUGGGGUUUUGACAGUAGCAAAAGAAGAUAACAAGACAGAGAACAAAAGAGGAUUGAUUUUGUUGGGGUUUUGACAGUAGCAAAAGAAGAUAACAAGACAGAGAGCAAAAGAGCAAGAAGCUUGAUAUAGUUUAGUUGCUCACAAACUGCAGUAAGAAAGCAAUCUAUUUUACAAAACUGAUAUGCUUGCUCAUUCAAUAAGAAAAUAAUCCCACUAAUCAGCAUUGGGACAAUUAAAAACAUGGCUUGUAUGUAUGAAUAAGCAGACUUAUCAGCUCAAUCAGCACCUAAGCAUAUCGAUACAUCAACAGCUAAGUUCAUUUUCAACCAAAUUAAAUUACUGUUAGAGUUGGCCUGCAUGCAGCACAAGCAGCACCAAGGUGCAGAGAAGCAAAAAAUUCAAAAAAGUUUAUUUAAAAUACUAUAAUUUACAUUACAUGUAAAAAAAAAAAAGAAAGCUAAUUAAGUAAUAACAUUAUCUAUUUCUCAAAAUCUUAAUUCUCUAAAUUCAUCCGAGCCUAUAAUUGCUGAAGUGUCCGCUUUCAUUCCAACUUGAUGACUUUUGUUGGUCCCUCACUAGCAUGAUUCUUUUAGCAAACUUUCAUACUUCUAUUAGCCUAAGGGACAAACAUAAAACAUCAAGGUUAUUCUCGCUGCAUAGAGAUCGUUGCAUUGAGAUCAUCUAUAUCACUAGGCAUUGUAUAAAACUGUGACUCCACUUUAUUCCUAUCACCUCCUAAUAGGAGAAUAACAAAUCAGAAUUUUUUUUUCCUGAUUUUCAACUUUUUCCUCCUAAAAAAAUUUAAAUUCAACUAAAAAUACUAAAAAAUUGAUUUAUCAUUCUUUUAUUGAAAAGGUAAAAAGAUGACAUAAAAUCACAAUUUUAUAUAAUCUUUUCUCUAUCAUAUAAUCUUUUCUCUAUCACUAGUAUAUUAACUUACCUCAAAUCAAGAAAAUUUUGUUAAUAUCACAGAAAAAAAAAACAACAGUUAAAAAUCUUACUCAUGUCAAUCAAAAAUCAUAUAUUUAUUUCUCUAAACACUAAUAUUAGACAAGAACAAAAAUUGAGUUUAUUGAAUUUAAAAAAAUAUAUACUGAAUAUGAAUAUGUUUCUCACAUUGGAAAAGAUUUUCCAAUUAAUUAAAAGAGUCUACUUUAUAUUCAUAUUUGAGUAAUUCUUAAAAAUAAAUGUAUAAAUAUAAAUACUUUACAACUAUAUAUAUAUAUAUAUAAACUUAAGAGUUGGAGUAAUAUUAUUUGUACUACAAACCAUGAAAUUUAAAUGAUACUUUUAUUAAGAGUAAUUAAACCUAUUUAAAUACUAGAAAGGACUUAUUUUUAAUCUUCUAAAUAUAUAAAAAUAAUUUUGACUGAUUAAAUUGAACACAUAAGUUAGUGUCAAAUAAAAAUAAAUUGGUUUCUAACUCGAUCCAAAUUCUGAUCUGAUCUUUAUUAAAGGAUUUCACCUUAUUGUUAUCUGUUUUGUCACGGAAACUAUCCAUUUUUUUCUACAUUUCUAUCUCAAGUUAAUUAUAUUUAUUUCUAACCUACAAAUAAAAUAUAGAUGUAAGUGUAUAUAUUAUGAAAAUAAAAUUUUAAUAAAAAAUGAAACUAUGAUAUCAACAUUUGUGAUAUGUACGGAAUAUGAGCUCCUGUUGAAUAUGAGUAAAAGAUUUAUAACUUUGUGGUAUGUAAGAAGGAUCGUAAGUAAGUCUAGAUUGAUCACAUUAAAUAAAAGAUGUGAAAAAAAGUUAAUAGGACAAGAUUGGUUAAGUAGUUUACCACAGUUAAUGCUUCUUCCCUGAUUGGCCCAUUAUAAAAUUGAAAAAUUUUUGCAACAGUUUUGGUUGCUGCCCCUCUUCCUCCGCUUCCUCGGAGAUAUUACGUUCUUGUUUAAUGUCAGAAGUGCUACCUACUGAUCCAUCGUUGUGAGCAGAGUGUUGGUGGAUGUGUUCAAAAUUUGGUGAAGAUUGAGGGGUAUGGCACUGCAACUCUUUUAUUUCUUCCAAAUCUUUCUCAUACACUAUUCUAACACCACACUUCUUCACCUUAAGGCUAUGACCAUUGAAAUACACAUGAAGCCCAUCACGUUUAUGAUCUAAGCAAUCUGUUGUCCGUAAAUUAUUGGUUUCACAGCCACCAUAUUUAUCUUUCAAGGAAAAUGGAUAUAAUUUAUCACGCGACCAAUAACGAAGAAAAAUGUGAUCUUUCAGUAUGGGAUAGCUGAAUCGUUUACCCACCAACCAGCCUCUCCUCUCAAUCAGUCGACGAUUUCUACCAUACAUUAACGCUCCACAGUCGAUAAAGCCCACAUCCAUUGAAGCAUCAUUAUUGACAAAAAUGCAGCAACAAGCAACCCCAAUCCAUUCACUAUCCUCUUGAAGGUUAAUAGGUAAGGGAAUCUUAAUAAAGAAGUCACCUUUUUGUUGGCUAAACCAUUCUGGGAUUUCACUUCCUGGCAUGAUAAUAUCAAACAUUUUUCUUGAAUUUGCAAAUGCCUGCAAAAUAAACCACAAGUCGUUUGGUAACUAAAC
rnacentral:lncRNA from 1 species